ACAAGAUAUAUAUGGCAUCCCAUAGAUCACUCCUUAAUACAAGCAAUAAUCAAGCCAAUGAUUCUACUAUCAAUCAUAUAAUUUUCUCAUAAUCAUAUCCCAUGAAUUAAGGGAAAAUUCCAACACCUACAAAGAAACUUGUAUUUUGAUAUAUCUGCAUAAUUAUAAUGUUCCUUUUGAUUUUUUUCUGAAAUUUUUUGCGUCGAG
rnacentral:misc_RNA from 1 species